rnacentral:RNase_P_RNA from 1 species
GGGAGCAGGAGGACCACUUACGGAGCAUGCUCUGAGGAAAGUCCCCUCUUCACGUGCAGGCGGCCAGAUGAAUGAUGGGAUCGGAGACGGUCGAAUCUGCUGCAGACACGGACCGACACACAGUCAAUGCUGUGAACCCAUCCGGGGGAGUUCUCUGUGUGGGCGUUGAGACGAGCAGACCCGCUGAAGCGAGCCGAAGCAGUCCCGUAGAGUGGCACGGUGAGGGACGGGUACGGCGCUGAGUUGAAUGUGGUCACCCGGUAACGGGGAACAGAAAGGGGCUUACUCCCUGCACCC